rnacentral:rRNA from 1 species
CUCCUACGGGAGGCAGCAGUGAGGAAUAUUGGACAAUGGGCGCAAGCCUGAUCCAGCCAUGCCGCGUGCAGGAUGACGGUCCUAUGGAUUGUAAACUGCUUUUGUACAGGAAGAAACACUGGUACGUGUACCAGCUUGACGGUACUGUAAGAAUAAGGAUCGGCUAACUCCGUGCCAG